AUUGAACGCUGGCGGCAUGCCUUACACAUGCAAGUCGAACGGCAGCACGGGAGCAAUCCUGGUGGCGAGUGGCGAACGGGUGAGUAAUACAUCGGAACGUGCCCAGUAGUGGGGGAUAACCGGCGAAAGCCGGACUAAUACCGCAUACGACCUACGGGUGAAAGACAGGGGAGUCGCAAGACCUUGCGCUAUCGGAGCGGCCGAUGUCAGAUUAGCUUGUUGGCGGGGAAAAGACCCACCAAGGCGACGAUCUGUAGCUGGUCUGAGAGGACGACCAGCCACACUGGGACUGAGACACGGCCCAGACUCCUACGGGAGGGCAGCAGUGGGGAAGUUUUGGACAAUGGGCGCAAGCCUGAUCCAGCCAUGCCGCGUGC
rnacentral:rRNA from 1 species